AGAGUUUGAUCCUGGCUCAGGAUGAACGCUGGCGGCGUGCCUAAUACAUGCAAGUCGAACGAGUUCUGAUUAUUGAAAGGUGCUUGCAUCUUGAUUUAAUUUUGAACGAGUGGCGGACGGGUGAGUAACACGUGGGUAACCUGCCCUUAAGUGGGGGAUAACAUUUGGAAACAGAUGCUAAUACCGCAUAAAUCCAAGAACCGCAUGGUUCUUGGCUGAAAGAUGGCGUAAGCUAUCGCUUUUGGAUGGACCCGCGGCGUAUUAGCUAGUUGGUGAGGUAACGGCUCACCAAGGCAAUGAUACGUAGCCGAACUGAGAGGUUGAUCGGCCACAUUGGGACUGAGACACGGCCCAAACUCCUACGGGAGGCAGCAGUAGGGAAUCUUCCACAAUGGACGCAAGUCUGAUGGAGCAACGCCGCGUGAGUGAAGAAGGCUUUCGGGUCGUAAAACUCUGUUGUUGGAGAAGAAUGGUCGGCAGAGUAACUGUUGUCGGCGUGACGGUAUCCAACCAGAAAGCCACGGCUAACUACGUGCCAGCAGCCGCGGUAAUACGUAGGUGGCAAGCGUUAUCCGGAUUUAUUGGGCGUAAAGCGAGCGCAGGCGGUUUUUUAAGUCUGAUGUGAAAGCCCUCGGCUUAACCGAGGAAGUGCAUCGGAAACUGGGAAACUUGAGUGCAGAAGAGGACAGUGGAACUCCAUGUGUAGCGGUGAAAUGCGUAGAUAUAUGGAAGAACACCAGUGGCGAAGGCGGCUGUCUGGUCUGUAACUGACGCUGAGGCUCGAAAGCAUGGGUAGCGAACAGGAUUAGAUACCCUGGUAGUCCAUGCCGUAAACGAUGAAUGCUAGGUGUUGGAGGGUUUCCGCCCUUCAGUGCCGCAGCUAACGCAUUAAGCAUUCCGCCUGGGGAGUACGACCGCAGAC
rnacentral:rRNA from 1 species